UUUAAUUUAUAGCUCCCUCUCGUCAUACUCCGGCUCUCUAUAGACGAUGUGGGACUAAAAGUUUAUUUGUUGCCUCACAUACGUGAUACGUCCUGGAGCAGUUAACAGCCCACGACCCACAUAUAUGCCACAGCCCAAAGCCACUAGACAGCCCAAUAGCCAACCUGUGAAACCCUCGACAACAGACGCUCGUCCGGCGUCCGCACUCCGCAAGGCGAGGUCGCGCCGCCGGCUGCCACCUCCGGGCUCUAGCCCUCCGCCGCUUGGCUAGCGCCUGCUCCAUCUGUGCCCCGUCGCAGUCGCAACUCGCA
rnacentral:lncRNA from 1 species